AGAAUCAACGCUGGCGGCGUGCCUAACACAUGCAAGUCGAACGAGAAAGUGGAGCAAUCCAUGAGUAAAGUGGCGCACGGGUGAGUAACACGUGACUAACCUACCCUUGAGUGGGGGAUAAACCUAGAGAAAUCUGGGCUAAUACCGCAUAAUACCUUCGGGUCAAAGGAGCAAUUCGCUUAAGGAGGGGGUCGCGGCCGAUUAGUUAGUUGGCGGGGUAAUGGCCCACCAAGACUGUGAUCGGUA
rnacentral:rRNA from 1 species